CUGGAAGCAUGAUAAGCAUUUGGUGAUUUUGUUAAAGUUACAUCUGCAGUGGUUGAUUGAUUAUUCCCUUCCGAUUUAACUAAGAGUUUAAAACUGUUUAAAAGAUAAUAGGAAGGACUCUUUAGCUUGAAAUUCAAAAGUUGACGCGCUUGAGUUGAGAGCAAAGAAACAGGAAAUAUCCCGUUAUGCGUACGCAAAUGAUUUUCGU